rnacentral:misc_RNA from 1 species
AUGAAAACCAUGUUAAAAUUAUUCCCAAAUAAAAAAGGCAUUUUCUGCAAAAAUUAGCAACCCAAGAAUCUGCAAACAAUCAACCUAGAAAGAGCAGGCAACUAUUAGAUCCGCAAACAACAUGCUGAACCUAAAUCCUAUUCAGUAUACAGAAUAAGAUUCAUCGUUAAAUACAGGAAGAAAUCAAUAAAUGGAAAAGGCAGAAAAUGGGGGAUUAUAUUGCACUGGGUUAAUUAUUUAAAUUGACAUUAAAAAUAUGGUCCAGGUGUUAAGUUUUUGGCCCAUAUUCUCAAAGAAAAUACUACUCAGCUCUUGCAAAGGGGCUGUGCAAUUGUUACAGACAAGAGACAUGGGGCUCAACCAGAU